rnacentral:rRNA from 1 species
UCCUACGGGGGGCAGCAGUGGGGAAUUUUGGACAAUGGGGGCAACCCUGAUCCAGCCAUGCCGCGUGAGUGAAGAAGGCCUUCGGGUUGUAAAGCUCUUUCAGUCGGGAAGAAACGGAGCGCUCUAACAUAGCGCUCUACUGACGGUACCGACAGAAGAAGCACCGGCUAACUACGUGCCAGCAGCCGCGGUAAUACGUAGGGUGCGAGCGUUAAUCGGAAUUACUGGGCGUAAAGCGUGCGCAGGCGGCGUUGUAAGACAGGUGUGAAAUCCCCGGGCUUAACCUGGGAACUGCGCUUGUGACUGCAAAGCUAGAGUACGGCAGAGGGGGGUGGAAUUCCACGUGUAGCAGUGAAAUGCGUAGAUAUGUGGAGGAACACCGAUGGCGAAGGCAGCCCCCUGGGCCUGUACUGACGCUCAUGCACGAAAGCGUGGGGAGCAAACAGGAUUAGAUACCCCGGUAGUCAU